rnacentral:rRNA from 1 species
CCUACGGGAGGCAGCAGUGAGGAAUAUUGGUCAAUGGGCGGGAGCCUGAACCAGCCAAGCCGCGUGAGGGAAGAAGGUACAGCGUAUCGUAAACCUCUUUUGUCAGGGGACAAAGGCGGGGACUAGUCCCCGGAUGAGGGUACCUGAAGAAAAAGCAUCGGCUAACUCCGUGCCAGCAGCCGCGGUAAUACGGAGGAUGCGAGCGUUAUCCGGAUUUGUUGGGUUAAAGGGGUGCGCAGGGGGCCUGUUAAGUCAGCGGGAAAAGCCCGGGGCUCAACCCCGGCGAGCCGUUGAAACUGGCGGGCUGGAGUUGGAGAGAGGUACGCGGAAUGCGCGGUGUAGCGGUGAAAUGCUUAGAUAUCGCGCAGAACCCCGAUUGCGAAGGCAGCGUACCGGCUCCACACUGACGCUGAGGCACGAAAGCGUGGGUAUCGAACAGGAUUAGAUACCCCUGUAGUC